rnacentral:rRNA from 1 species
AGGGUUUGAUCAUGGCUCAGAUUGAACGCUGGCGGUAUGCUUAACACAUGCAAGUCGAACGGAAACGAAACUAGCUUGCUAGUAGGCGUCGAGUGGCGGACGGGUGAGUAACGCGUAGGAAUCUGCCUGAUAGUGGGGGAUAGCCCGAAGAAAUUCGGAUUAAUACCGCAUAAUCUAUUCGUAGUAAAGUGAGGGACUUUCGAGCCUCACGCUAUCAGAUGAGCCUGCGUAAGAUUAGCUUGUUGGUAGGGUAAAAGCCUACCAAGGCAACGAUCUUUAGCUGGUCUGAGAGGAUGAUCAACCACAUCGGGACUGAGACACGGCCCGAACUCCUACGGGAGGCAGCAGUGGGGAAUAUUGGACAAUGGGGGCAACCCUGAUCCAGCAAUACCGCGUGUGUGAAGAAGGCCUGAGGGUUGUAAAGCACUUUCAAUUGUGAAGAAAAGUUAACGGUUAAUAACCGUUAACCUUGACGUUAACUUUAGA